rnacentral:rRNA from 1 species
UACGGGGGGAGCAAGCGUUGUUCGGAUUUACUGGGCGUAAAGGGCGCGUAGGCGGCCAGCACAAGUCAGUUGUGAAAUCUCCGAGCUUAACUCGGAAAGGUCAACUGAUACUGUGCGGCUAGAGUUCGGUAGGGGAGACUGGAAUUCCUGGUGUAGCGGUGAAAUGCGCAGAUAUCAGGAGGAACACCGGUGGGCGAAGGCGGGUCUCUGGGCCGAUACUGACGCUGGAGGAGC